rnacentral:rRNA from 1 species
AUGAACCCUGGCGGCAGGCCUAACACAUGCAAGUCGAGCGGCAGCACGGGUACUUGUACCUGGUGGCGAGCGGCGGACGGGUGAGUAAUGCCUAGGAAUCUGCCUAGUAGUGGGGGAUAACGUCCGGAAACGGGCGCUAAUACCGCAUACGUCCUACGGGAGAAAGUGGGGGAUCUUCGGACCUCACGCUAUUAGAUGAGCCUAGGUCGGAUUAGCUAGUUGGUGAGGUAAUGGCUCACCAAGGCGACGAUCCGUAACUGGUCUGAGAGGAUGAUCAGUCACACUGGAACUGAGACACGGUCCAGACUCCUACGGGAGGCAGCAGUGGGGAAUAUUGGACAAUGGGCGAAAGCCUGAUCCAGCCAUGCCGCGUGUGUGAAGAAGGUCUUCGGAUUGUAAAGCACUUUAAGUUGGGAGGAAGGGCAGUUACCUAAUACGUGAUUGUUUUGACGUUACCGACAGAAUAAGCACCGGCUAACUCUGUGCCAGCAGCCGCGGUAAUACAGAGGGUGCAAGCGUUAAUCGGAAUUACUGGGCGUAAAGCGCGCGUAUGUGGUUUGUUAAGUUGGAUGUGAAAGCCCCGGGCUCAACCUGGGAACUGCAUCCAAAACUGGCAAGCUAGAGUAUGGUAGAGGGUGGUGGAAUCUCCUGUGUACCGGUGAAAUGCGUA